GUGAAUCAUCAAAUUUUUGAACGCAAAUUGCACUCUCCUCGGAGAGUAUGCCUGUUUGAGGGUCAGUCUAUAAAAAUUCGACAUCGUUGCUGUUUCGCGGCGGAGUUCGUCGGACAUUGGGUCAUCUUAGAUCUAUUGGCUUUAUGGGCAUCAAAAUUUUCUAUUUGGUUGUAUGACCGUUUCUGAG
rnacentral:misc_RNA from 1 species